UGGGGAAUUUUGGACAAUGGGGGAAACCCUGAUCCAGCCAUCCCGCGUGUGCGAUGAAGGCCUUCGGGUUGUAAAGCACUUUUGGCAGGAAAGAAACGUCAUGGGUUAAUACCCCGUGAAACUGACGGUACCUGCAGAAUAAGCACCGGCUAACUACGUGCCAGCAGCCGCGGUAAUACGUAGGGUGCAAGCGUUAAUCGGAAUUACUGGGCGUAAAGCGUGCGCAGGCGGUUCGGAAAGAAAGAUGUGAAAUCCCAGAGCUCAACUUUGGAACUGCAUUUUUAACUACCGGGCUGGAGUGUGUCAGAGGGAGGUGGAAUUCCGCGUGUAGCAGUGAAAUGCGUAGAUAUGCGGAGGAACACCGAUGGCGAAGGCAGCCUCCUAGGAUAACACUGACGCUCAUGCACGAAAGCGUGGGGAGCAAACAGG
rnacentral:rRNA from 1 species